rnacentral:rRNA from 1 species
AUACGGAGGGUGCAAGCGUUACUCGGAAUCACUGGGCGUAAAGCGCGCGCAGGCGGCUAUUUAAGUUGGAUGUGAAAGCCUACGGCUCAACCGUAGAACUGCAUCCAAAACUAUUUAGCUAGAGUGUGAGAGAGGAAGAUGGAAUUAGUUGUGUAGGGGUAAAAUCCGUAGAGAUAACUAGGAAUACCAAAAGCGAAGGCAAUCUUCUGGAACACUACUGACGCUGAGGCGCGAAAGCGUGGGGAGCAAACGGAAUUAGAAACCCCAGUAGUCC